AAUUCUACAUAAUUCUCUGUUAGUUAAGAGCUUGAAAUACUCCAGUUUAAUGGUCUUCAAACUAUAGGUUGUAACCCCAGUUGGGCAUCAAGGAAACUGCUGAGUUGUUACCUAAAAAAAAAAUUUAACAGCAUGGAAUAGACCCAAAUACAUAGGAGGUUAAGCACUGUGCAAAUGUAAGGAGCAAUUUGGUCAACCACAAAUACGUGCCUACAUGCUGUCUUUUGAGUGCUGAAGGCAUGGAGCUGAGCAAGACACAACAUGACGAAAGGGACACACACAUUUUGGGGCUUUGAGUCAAAUGGCUGUACCAGCAAACCAGCUUCAAGCUUUGGCUACUUACCGAGGGUUGUGCAGUAUGGGUGAGAGCAUCCAGAUUCGCUGACGGAGCCAUGGGCCAGAGGUGAGCUG
ensembl:lncRNA